GUUUGUUAUAGGUAUGAGCUUUUGUGUGCAUGCACACUUCUUCAGAUACAGUGUGCAUGUACACGAAAGCUCAUACCUAUAAUAAAC